AUUGAACGCUGGCGGCAUGCCUUACACAUGCAAGUCGAACGGCAGCACGGGUGCUUGCACCUGGUGGCGAGUGGCGAACGGGUGAGUAAUACAUCGGAACGUACCUUAUCGUGGGGGAUAACGCAGCGAAAGUUGCGCUAAUACCGCAUACGCCCUGAGGGGGAAAGCGGGGGACCGUAAGGCCUCGCGCGAUUAGAGCGGCCGAUGUCUGAUUAGCUUGUUGGUGAGGUAAAAGCUCACCAAGGCGAUGAUCAGUAGCUGGUCUGAGAGGACGAUCAGCCACACUGGGACUGAGACACGGCCCAGACUCCUACGGGAGGCAGCAGUGGGGAAUUUUGGACAAUGGAGGCAACCCUGAUCCAGCAAUGCCGCGUGAGUGAAGAAGGCCUUCGGGUUGUAAAGCUCUUUUGUCAGGGAAGAAACAGCAGCUCUAACACAGUCUGCGAAUGACGGUACCUGAAGAAUAAGCACCGGCUAACUACGUGCCAGCCGCCGCGGUAA
rnacentral:rRNA from 1 species